AGGUUUACGCAGUACUCUCCAAUGAGAUACCAAAAUUUCAAAGAUGGCGACUGUAAAAUUUUAGGAAGUAAAAAACAUUUGAAAUGA